UUCUUUGUUCUGACAGCUUUCUCUAUUUGCUAGGUGAUGGGUCUCUUUAUGGAGGUGGAUGCUCGCGACCAUGCUCUCCGGGAGUCAAUGGAUCGCCGGGUCGAGGAGGCACGUUUGGAAGAAAACCUGUCUGCCACCAGUGACGCCCGAAGCAAUCUAGCCGCAGCUCAGGAGCAUUCCAAGUCCUUACAGGCAGAGCUGACAUAUGCCCUGGAUGCUGUCAAAAGGGCGGAUGAGAAGGCAGCUGAAGCAGAUAUUCGUUGUAAAGAAGCCCUGAAACAACUGUCUUCUCUGGAAGAGGUCCAGAGGGAGAGAGAUGAAGUCCGCCAC
rnacentral:lncRNA from 1 species